GCCCGGAGAUGGUAUGAGACCGACCCAGCCCUAUGGGGGCAGCAGGCGAGAACCUUGCAAUGGCGAAAGCACGACAAGGUAAUCCGAGUUCUCCUGCUAAAGGAGUCUUUUGUCAGUUGUAGAAUCACUGGUGAAUAAGGGGUGGGCAAGUUCUGGUGUCAGCCGCCGCGGUAAAACCAGCACCUCGAGUGGUCAGGAGGUUUAUUGGGCCUAAAGCAUCCGUAGCCGGUUGCAUAAGUUUUCGGUUAAAUCUAUGCGCUUAACGUAUAGGCCGCCGAAAAUACUGUGCAGCUAGGGAGUGGGAGAGGUACACGGUACUCGAUAGGAAGGGGUAAAAUCCUUUGAUCUAUUGAAGACCACCUGUGGCGAAGGCGGUGUACCAGAACACGUUCGACGGUGAGGGAUGAAAGCUGGGGGAGCAAACCGGAUUAGAUACCCGGGUAGUCCCAGCUGUAAACGAUGCAGACUCGGUGAUGCAUUGGCUUGUGGCCAAUGCAGUGCCGCAGGGAAGCCGUUAAGUCUGCCGCCUGGGAAGUACGUACGCAAUGUAUGAAACUUAAAGGAAUUGGCGGGGGAGCACCACAAGGGUGAAGCCUGCGGUUCAAUUGGAGUCACGC
rnacentral:rRNA from 1 species